rnacentral:misc_RNA from 1 species
UCUCCGUUGGUGAACCAGCGGAGGGAUCAUUGCUGGAACGCGCCCCUGGCGCACCCAGAAACCCUUUGUGAACUUAUACCUUACUGUUGCCUCGGCGCAUGCUGGCCCCCUGGGGGUCCCUCACUCCGGUGAGGAGCAGGCACGCCGGCGGCCCCCAAAACUAUUGUAUUAAAGUGUUACCUCUGAGUAAAGCUUCUAAAUGAAUCAAAACUUUCAACAACGGAUCUCUUGGUUCUGGCAUCGAUGAAGAACGCAGC